UGGGGAAUAUUGCACAAUGGGGGAAACCCUGAUGCAGCGACGCCGCGUGAAGGAAGAAGUAUCUCGGUAUGUAAACUUCUAUCAGCAGGGAAGAAAAUGACGGUACCUGACUAAGAAGCCCCGGCUAACUACGUG
rnacentral:rRNA from 1 species